UUUCGCAAUGCCCGAAAGGGUGACGAAGCGACGCCGCGUGUGGGAAGAAGGCCUUCGGGUUGUAAACCACUGUCGGGAGUUAGGAAAUGUAAGGGUGUUAAUAGCAUCCUUACUUGACUAAGGCUCCGGAGGAAGCCACGGCUAACUCUGUGCCAGCAGCCGCGGUAAUACAGAGGCGGCAAGCGUUGUUCGGAAUUAUUGGGCGUAAAGAGCACGUAGGCGGCCUUGUAAGUCAGUUGUGGAAGCCUUCUGCUUAACGGAAGAACAGCAGCUGAUACUGCAAGGCUAGAGUGCGGAAGGGGAGAGUGGAACUUCUGGUGGAGCGGUGAAAUGCGUAGAUAUCAGAAGGAACACCGGCGGCGAAGGCGACUCUCUGGUCCGUAACUGACGCUGAGUGUGCGAAAGCUAGGGGAGCAAACGGGAUUAGAUACCCCGAUAGUCCUAGCCGUAAACGAUGGGCACUAAGUAGAGGGGUUUUA
rnacentral:rRNA from 1 species